ensembl:lncRNA
UAACUGAAACUAAUUGAAACUCUUUUACGAGCUCACGAAUUUGGGACAGUUUUGAUGCUAUUCAGUCUCAGCCGAGACAGUGAUUCUUCUGAAUAUAUCUAUAUUACUAGAACAUUACUUGCCAUGUACGGCACUGUUAACCUGUUGUAGAUACAAGCCCCAAUCAUAACCAUGGCUCAGGCAAGCUCUGAACCCAAAGGACCCGCCUGAAGGGAGAGGGGAGCAAGUAAAGUGUGUGAAGGGUGUUCUAGGCAGCCAGAAGCAGACAGUUGGCCACACGUAUACGACAGGUCAGGAGCUCAGCCUGAAUGGGUGAAGCUCUGGGGCAAGGCAAGGGUAUCUUGUAGCUGGUAAUUGGUAGAAAUCCAAGCACAGCAAAUGACCAAACCUGAGAAGGCCCAUCCGUCAGUGGUGUGGCUCCAUUCCCUGAGAUGGAAGGAUCUUGGUCAGCAAAGUGCAGCAAAGACUCAGGUGGGGGCAGAAAAAGCGGGAAGCCAGUUAUUAGCAGGAGACUGGGUAAAAAAUAAGGCAGAAUCCUACAUGCUGGAAAUGUAUUCUGAGGUCAGAUUGUUGUCCCACUCUGAGGACAGAGUGGAAGCAGUGUCAAAGCUGACAGUACUCCAAGGAAAAGCUUCUUACCUUCCUGACAAGGCAGAGGGUGGGUGUCUGAUUGUAGAGUGUAGGAGAAGGCCGAAUUUCCUAUAAGUCUGUGGGGUGAGGCUGGGGACAGAGAAGGGAAGAAAAGGAUCAGGGAAGGAAGGGGUUAAAUUAAGAAAGCUCAGGAGAUUGGGACACAAGCAAAACAUUACAGCUAUAAACUAAAAAUAAAAUCCUAAGCCUCCUAACCAACUGAACGGAUUCCAUCUUGGGCAAGAGAACCUCAGAGAAACCUGAAAAACUGAAUUCUUGGCCCUGAUGGGAAGGGAGAUUGGACAUGCCCUGUUAUUCUCUCUCUUUUGGAGUUUAGGCAUAACUGACCAGCAUUAAUGUUAAAAUAGAGAUCAUAAGACUGACAGAAUGGAUUCCUUUUUUUUUUUUUUUGACAGAGUCUCACUCUGUCACCCAGGCUGGAGUACAGUGGCGCGAUCUCGGCUCAUUGCAACCUCCGCCUCCUGGGUUCAAGUGAUUCUCCUGCCUCGGCCUCCCGAGUAGCUGGCAUGCACCACCACACUCAACUAAUUUUUGUAUUUUUAGUAGAGACGGGAUUUCGCCAUGUUGUCCAGGAUGGUCUCGAACUCCUGACCUCAGGUAAUCCACCUGCCUCAGUCUCUCAAAGUGCUAGGAUUAUAGGCGUGAGCCACCACACCCAACCCAGAAUGGAUUCUUGUUGCAAUAAGAUACCAAAUUGUAAACAAGACCUAAGGCCAUGCCGGGCAAGGAUUAAAGUCAUGCCCUACAAACCAUAAAAUCUUGUUAAAUGUUUUUUUUUUUAAAUUAACCUGGUAUAAUGUGGCUUAUUUUCCAACAUGACUCUGGUAUAGCAUCACGUGACAGAGAGCAGACCCCCUCAUCUUAACUUAAGCAUUCCUUUCUACUGACUUCAAGUCUUUAGAUAAGGCUUAACUCUUUCAACAAACUGUCAACUAAAAAAAUCCCUAAAACCCACCUUGAUUUGUAAGACCUGUCUUCAAAAUGUCCUGCCUUUUUGGACUGAACCAAGUAUUCCUUCCAUCUAUUGAUUUUUUAUUUUAUCUCCAAUUUCUGUCUCACUGAAACAUAUAAAACCAAACUGUAAUCUAACCACCUUGGACGUACUUUCUCAGGACUUCUUGAGACUGUUUUCCCUGGGCUUAGAAUAAACUUCUUUAAAAUAUAUUACAGAACUUGGUUUUUUUAUUAACACAGCAAAAAUUAAAAAAAAAAAAAAUCAAAAUCUAGAAAAAGGAAACUGCAUUGUCUCUAAACUCCCACCAACACAUUACUGUCAAAGACAUCCAGGAUAUGAAUUUCCUCCCUCUCAGUUCUCCAGCCCUCUGAGCAGGUUCAGGGAUGGUUUCUGCAUAAGGAACAAGGAGGCUAUGUGGUUUCUUGUGGUAGACCAGCACCCCUCGGCAGCUCUAGGAGCCUCUGUAAUUCAGCCCUCCUCUUAAUGUUACUGUCACCCUAGAUGCCAGUGCAGAGACUGGAGCUUCCAUGGUACUGCAGCCAAUUUUGUUAAAAGGAGCACUGAUUUUAGGAGAUUUACAAACAGAGGCAUCACUGUCCAUAUAUCUAUAAUAUACCAAAUUGGCCUCUUUUCUUUCCCUAGUGCCUCCAAACUUAUCAGUUCAUUCUUCUUCCCCCUUAAUAGGGAAGUCAGAGGCAUUUUCCCUUUGCCAUUAGUGUGGCUUCUGAAACUAUGAGCACCAUGAAGCUGUGAGGUCUCCUGGUUCCACCCCUGGUCUCACCACUCAUCCAUUCUGCUGUAUCCAUAAAGGAUGAUCCUGGUGUUCAGCCUCUGCUCCUACAAUGACACCCCAUUGUCAUAUCUUUGCUAACUUUUCCUCUUUUCUGGAAACUUCAAUUUUAGCUGCUCAUUUGCUUAAUUACCUCUAUCGCUGAUACUUACAAAAAGACUGAACAUGUAACAGAUGGUGCCUUGGGAUGGAUGGAUGUUAUGGAUGCAGAACUGUCAACACACCUAUCUCAAUUCCAUUUUAACUUUCACAUUAUGUCCCCCCGUGGACUGUUGGCAAUGAACUAAGCUGAUGUGUGCUGCCGGUGCCCAGAUUCACAUCGAGCUCAGUAAUUCUUUUUGCCUCCUGUGCUUCCUCCCACUCUCUCUCCACAGUAUGUUUGGCUUCCCAGUGCUUUUGUAAUGAUCUCUGUAGCAUCUUUAAAAACUAUUCCACCUCAUUUAAAAUGUAGUAUAAAUGAUGAGGUUUUGACAAAUUAAAUAACAAUAAGAAAACAUUUUCAAUAUUCUGUAUUUUUCCAUUAAGCUCCAAAAAAAAAAUAGCCAUUAAAAGAGCACCAUUCUCAACCCACAGUUAACGACGUGUUAGUCCUGGUUUCAUUAAACACCUCAUUAUUCAAAGACUUAUAAUUCAGUCCAAGAAAUCUCCUCUGAAGUUGAAAAUAAAUCUGAUCUCAGUUUAGAAACUUACUUUUACAGAAUUUGAAUUAAGAUUGAGUAUCCAAUGAGGGCACUGGUUAAUACAGAAAUGUCUCAGGAUAUUGAAAUGAUGGACCAAAAUCAACAGAAUGAAACUUAGCAUGGAUUAUUAUUGAAUGCUGUGUGAAAGCUGGAAAGUUAUAAAAUAGAAAGAGCAGAUAUUAGGCAUUUGGGAGUGAGGAGGCCUGACUUUGAUCCCGGCUCUGCUUCUAAACAGCUCUUUGACUAAGCUAUUUACUGGUGCUCUCUGGGACAAAGUUACCCCAUCCAUCUAAAGAAGACCUUUAAGACAGCUUCAGGAUCUUAAAGUGUCAAUUGAUUAUCAAGUACAGAUUUAAUUCUCCACUAAAAAAGACUAGGGCUCUUUGGAGAAGUGGCUAAUUCCAGGCUGGCAUAGUGUAGGUAAGUCUGGAGAAUAAUCUUGCUCUGCUAGAAAGUAAGGAAGUGCAAACAAACAAACAAAAAAAACAAGCAAAAACAAAAAACAACAACAAAAAAAGAAAAAUGAAAAACAGGAAAAACAGGGCACGGAAAAGGAUGCAAGAGCCAGCUGAAAGUGUUCUCACAGGUCAAGUUGGGACAAUUUGAGCACCAACAUAAUUAAAUAUAAUAAUAAAUUAUGAGAAAGAGAGCAAUUGAUAAAGCAAGUGGAGUAGAAUGUUAGCAACGGUGAAUCUGGGUAAAGGAUGUAUGAAUGUCCUUUUUUUUUUUUUUUUUUGAGAUGGAGUCUUGCUCUGUCGCCCAGACUGGAGUGCAGCGGCAUGAUCUCAGCUCACUGCCAGCUCUGC